GAUGAACGCUGGCGGCGUGCCUAAUACAUGCAAGUCGAGCGAACAGACGAGGAGCUUGCUCCUCUGACGUUAGCGGCGGACGGGUGAGUAACACGUGGAUAACCUACCUAUAAUACUGGGAUAACUUCGGGAAACCGGAGCUAAUACCGGAUAAUAUAUUGAACCGCAUGGUUCAAUAGUGAAAGACGGUUUUGCUGUCUCUUAUAGAUGGAUCCGCGCCGCAUUAGCUAGUUGGUAAGGUAACGGCUUACCAAGGCAACGAUGCGUAGCCGACCUGAGAGGUGGAUCGGCCACAUUGGAACUGGGACCCGUUCCAGCUCCCUAGGGGAGGCGGCAGUAGGGAAUCUUGCGCAAUGGGGGAAAGCCUGACGGAGCAACGCCGGGGGAGUGAUGAAGGUUUUCGGAUCGUAAAACUCUGUUAUGAGAGAAGAACAAAUGUGUAAGUAACUAUGCACGUCUUGACGGUACCUAAGCAGAAAGCCACGGCUAACUACGU
rnacentral:rRNA from 1 species